rnacentral:siRNA from 1 species
CUUCUCGUAGUGAUGUUC